rnacentral:rRNA from 1 species
CGAUCUCUAGACAGAUGGAUCUUAUAUGAAUCAUAUGAUGAAGUACCACAUGAGUGGAUAUAUAGGAAAGGAAUCCAAAUCUGCCGAAUCGCUCAUGUUAUGAUCUUCUACAUCCUAGGUCUCUGCGUUCCGUCAUCUGGCUUAUGUUCUUCAUGUAGCAUUCAGAUCGAAUGA